AUUACACAAAUAUGAAGGCGGGCUGGAACCUCUCGGGGUUACAGCCUUGCUGAAUUAUUCACCCUUGUCUUUUGCGUACUUCUUGUUUCCUUGGUGGGUUCGCCCACCACUAGGACAAACAUAAACCUUUUGUAAUUGCAAUCAGCGUCAGUAACAAAUUAAUAAUUACAACUUUCAACAACGGAUCUCUUGGUUCUGGCAUCGAUGAAGAACGCAGCGAAAUGCGAUAAGUAGUGUGAAUUGCAGAAUUCAGUGAAUCAUCGAAUCUUUGAACGCACAUUGCGCCCUUUGGUAUUCCAAAGGGCAUGCCUGUUCGAGCGUCAUUUGUACCCUCAAGCUUUGCUUGGUGUUGGGCGUCUUGUCUCUAGCUUUGCUGGAGACUCGCCUUAAAGUAAUUGGCAGCCGGCCUACUGGUUUCGGAGCGCAGCACAAGUCGCACUCUCUAUCAGCAAAGGUCUAGCAUCCAUUAAGCCUUUUUUUCAACUUUUGACCUCGGAUCAGGUAGGGAUACCCGCUGA
rnacentral:rRNA from 1 species